UCCGUUGUAGUCUAGUUGGUCAGGAUAUUCGGCUCUCACCCGAAAGACCCAGGUUCAAGUCCCGGCAACGGAA
rnacentral:tRNA from 2 species